UACGUAGGGACCAAGCGUUGUUCGGAUUUACUGGGCGUAAAGGGCGCGUAGGCGGCAAUUCAAGUCAUCUGUGAAAUCUCCGGGCUUAACUCGGAACGGUCAGAUGAUACUGCUUUGCUCGAGUGCGGAAGGGGCAAUCGGAAUUCUUGGUGUAGCGGUGAAAUGCGUAGAUAUUGCUCGGAAGGCCAAAGCCGAAGGGACCCCACUGGUACGUAACUGACACUGAGGCACGAAAGCGUGGGGAGCAAAACGG
rnacentral:rRNA from 1 species